UUUGAAUGAUUGACAGCAGCUGCUGACGUUGUUAAUGCAGCAGCGGGUCGACGUUCGGUGGUUUUUUAAAAAGAAAAGUUCAGUCGGUCUAAUUAAUUUGCUCCUCUUUUUCCCCCCACUUUACUCCACCCUCUACAAAAAAAUUAUUACCCAAAACAUUCGCGCACACACAAAAUAUAUGUCAUUCAUCAAAUAUUUUCCAUCUAUGACGGUGUAUUGCUAUUAAAACAUCACAAUUGGCUGAUAUCUGGUUUUUGAAAUCUCUGAUAAAGUUUGCAACAUGUUGCAUUUACCUAAGGCUUUGAGACUGACAUCUCGUUGCCGGAGCAAAAGUUUGUCGAGACUCAGCUCCUGUUCUGCUGUGGCCGAUACCUCUGUCUUAAGCUCCUGCAGGAUCUUCUCUACAGACCAAGGUCAGAGGGUGCUGUACAGUUCGGCUGCACAAGCCAAUCUAAAGAAGCAGCGUAAUGAUGACAAAACUUCAAACACUAAACAAGACUCCAGCAAGCGGAAGAAGAUGUCUUUGGUGAUAUUUGACAAAGAUGGUACUUUAAUCUGCUUCCAGUCGAUGUGGGUACCUUGGGCUAAGAAUUUGGCUGAAAAGUUAUCAAAUGCUACGGGUCUUCCAAUCCAGAAGAAAGUCUAUGAUAUGUUGGGUUACUGCACACUCUCCAAUAAAGUAGUACCUGGACUGUUGGCAGAGGCAACUGGUCCAAUAAUUAAGGAAGAGUUAAUAAAAUUAUUGAUGAAAGAAGGGUUUUCAUUGCAACGAGCUGAAGAGCUGGCUAAUGAGAAUUUAGAUCAUGGUGACAACAAGAACCCAGAAACGAUGCGCUCUUUGGCUGAUUUGCAAAUCCUUUUCAAAGUACUUAAACAAAAGAAAGUGAAAGUUGCUAUUUGCACGGCAGAUUCUAGAAAACCUACUGAAGAACUUCUUGAAAUCUUAAACCUGUCCAAAAACGUUGAUCUCAUCGUAUGUGGAGAUGAUGCUUUGUCCGAACCCAAACCAUCUCCACAUAAUGCUUUGAUGAUUUGCAAGAAGUUGGGAGUGGAUCCAUCAGAGGCUGUCAUGGUUGGAGACACUAAAGUAGAUGUCAUGAUGGGGAAGGCAGCCAAUCUUGGCUUAAGUGUUGGGGUAUUGAGUGGUGUGGGCGGUAAGACUGACUUGCAGCCUAAUGCUGACCAUAUCAUUCAAAAUGUUCAGGACUUGCUACCAUUGAUAAUGCCGACAGAGGAAUGGAAAGACUGUUACGUAUAUUCGACUGAACGCAUCCUAAUCGAACGUCAUUUUGGGGAAGAGGAAAGUCUUGGAGAAAAUUUACCUGAGCAGAAGAUUUCGUUAGCCAUUAUUGAUUUGCACGGCACCUUAGUCUGUUCUGAAGCUGUCUGGUUAAAUUGGACAAAACAAAUUGCUAAAAGGCUCGAAGAACUAACAUACAUGGAACUGAUGGAAGAGGUUUAUUCACGCCUUGGAAUUUGUAAAAUAUCCCUUAAGGUGAAGCAUGGUAUUCUUGCAGAACGUCCAAAAGCCGAGAUUAAAGAUGCUCUAAAGUCACUUCUUCGAGAACAAGGUCUUGGUUAUGAAGAAUCAUUAGUAACUGUUAAUCAGGCAUGGAAAGACUGCAAAAAUUCAUUGUAUGGAGAUCUGAAAGUUCUGGGAGACAUUCAGCAUUUUUUCAAAACUUUGAAGAAAAAUAAAAUCAAGAUUGCUAUCAUGUCACAAGAUGCACGCGAGGAAACCUUCAAGAUACUCGACCGAUUCAGCUUGAUGAAGUAUGUGGAUAUGAUGGUGUGUGGAGACGACAGCAGCUCCGAAGUCAACGCAACAUCUUUGAUCUGUAACGAACUGGGUGUCAGCCCUUCAGAAGCAAUAGUGGUGAGUGACUGUGCAAAAAACCUCUACUCUGGAAAAGAGGCCCAUGUACAGGCAAGCAUUGGGGUUCUUAGUGGCACCGGUUCGAAAGCCGAGCUUGCACCCCAUGCUGAUCACAUACUACCCACUGCCUGGGACCUUCUUGAUCCUGUCUCUGACAUUAAAAUUAUCAAAUCACCUCAGCCUUCCAACAAAAAAGGCAUUAGUAUUUUCAGGAGCUAAAACGGUUUUUGUGUGAUGGUGGUGGAGGUGAGUCUGUAAUGAAGAAGAAGAAUCUUUUUUUUUUUUAAGACUGAAUCAGUUGAGUACAGCAGUACCUGGCACACUUGUUGAACAGGGUAAGAAUUUUACGAACUUCAGCAGGACAUGAAAUAGUGCUUUUUUUUGGAACAUUGGAUCUUGAAGCAGAUAAGCUAUAAAUAGUAGCAUGUAAAUAUUGGCUUAAAAACAAAAACCUUUGGAUAGAAAAAGUUGGAUGCUGCCCAUGGAACUUGAACCUACAUCUCUUGUACACAUAACAGACAUUCUACCUUUGUAUCAGAACAAUCCUCCAAAUUUCUCUAUUUUAGGAUCUUUACCAGUUGCCAGUGAAAAUUGCGUGUUGUUGAGUUUCAAACAUAACAAAGGCAAGUUUACAAAAAUAAAUGCAGGAAUGCACAUAUACAUACAUAUAAAAGCAAACACACACACACUGGUUCUAUUUCACUUUUUUAUAUUCAUUAGUCAACUGGUUAAUCAUUUAACCAAUUAAAUUAUCGAUUGUUUAAUUAUCAAUAAAUGACCUAGUUUUGUCAAAGUUCUUUCAUUGCCAUUUGCGAUCUCAUCAGUGACAUGUUCUACUUCAGGCUUCUUCAAAAAUGAAGUGAAAUAAAACCAGUACAUGUUUUAUUGUUGGCCUGAUGACCCUCCUAACAUGCAACAAAAUAUGCUUUAAAACAAGUUCACAUGAAGAAUGUUGCAACACAAACAAAAUAUAUACAUACAUAGGGGUGAGUGGACAAACGACAAGAGCCACUCAACGCAUUUAGUUGGAGUUAUGUAUAUCAUUGUUUGCAAAAGUUUGAUUCAUCCCUGUGCAACUUAGAAUUUUGUAGGCUCCUUACAAUAACCUAGCUAGUGAGGCUUGUGUGGUUGAAUUGGUUCCCUGAGCCCUACGACCUAGGUUUCUGUAAGGAGCCUAUAAGACUUUAAGUUGCAUACAGCCAAAUCAAACAGUUUUAAAUGGUAAUGGUGCUAAUGGGGGGGUUCCAAUUUUGGUACAAAGCCAGAAGGUUUAGGAGAGAGGGGUAAGUCGAUUUCAUCAACCCCAAUACUCAAGUGGCACUUAUCUUAUUGACCCUGAAAGGAUGAAAGGCAAAGCCAACCUCAGCAGAAUUUGAACCCAGAAAGGCGGCGAGCUGGCAGAAACGUUAGCACGCCGGACUUAGCGGUAUUUCGUCUGCCGUUACGUUCUGAGUUCAAAUUCCACCAGGUUUGACUUUGCCUUUCAUCCUUUUGGGGUCGAUUAAAUAAAUACCGGUUAUGCACUGGGGUCGAUGUAAUUGACUUAAUCCGUUUGUCUGUCCUUGUUUGUCCCCUCUAUGUUUAGCCCCUUGUGGGCAAUAAAGAAAUAAGAAUUUGAACCCAGAACUUAAAGAUGGAUAAAAUGCUGCUAAGCAAAUGAUUCUGCUAGCUUACCACAAUAAUAAUAAUAAUAAUCCUUUCUACUAUAGGCACAAGGGCUGAAAUUUGGAGGAGGGGAUAAUCAAUAACAUUGACCCCAGUGUUUCACUGGUGCUUAAUUUAUCGACCCUGAAAGGACGAAAGGCAAAGUAAACCUCAACAGAAUUUGAACCCAGAACGUAAAGAUAGACAAAAUGCCACUAAGCUAACAAUUCUGGUAGCUUUCCACAACAACAACAAUAAUAAUGGUUUCAAGUUUUGCCACAAGGGCAGCUAUUUUGGGGGAGAGGAUGAGUCGCUUACUAUUUACUGUUUAUGUUUUAAAUAUUGAUUACAAAUCAAUAAAGGAGUUUUUCAAAACUUCUAUUUUCCAGA